GACGAACGCUGGCGGCGGGCUUAACACAUGCAAGUCGAACGGAAAGGCCCUGCUUUUGUGGGGUGCUCGAGUGGCGAACGGGUGAGUAACACGUGAGUAACCUGCCCUUGACUUUGGGAUAACUUCAGGAAACUGGGGCUAAUACCGGAUAGGAGCUCCUGCUGCAUGGUGGGGGGUGGAAAGUUUCGGCGGGUGGGGAUGGACUCGCGGCUUAUCAGCUUGUUGGUGGGGUAGUGGCUUACCAAGGCUUUGACGGGUAGCCGGCCUGAGAGGGUGACCGGCCACAUUGGGACUGAGAUACGGCCCAGACUCCUACGGGAGGCAGCAGUGGGGAAUAUUGCACAAUGGGCGGAAGCCUGAUGCAGCAACGCCGCGUGCGGGAUGACGGCCUUCGGGUUGUAAACCGCUUUCGCCUGUGACGAAGCGUGAGUGACGGUAAUGGGUAAAGAAGCACCGGCUAACUACGUG
rnacentral:rRNA from 1 species